AACGAACGCUGGCGGCAUGCCUAACACAUGCAAGUCGAACGAGACCUUCGGGUCUAGUGGCGCACGGGUGCGUAACGCGUGGGAACCUGCCCUUAGGUUCGGAAUAACUCCCCGAAAGGGGUGCUAAUACCGGAUAAUGUCUUCGGACCAAAGAUUUAUCGCCUUUGGAUGGGCCCGCGUUGGAUUAGCUAGUUGGUAGGGUAAAAGCCUACCAAGGCGACGAUCCAUAGCUGGUCUGAGAGGAUGAUCAGCCACACUGGGACUGAGACACGGCCCAGACUCCUACGGGGGGCAGCAGUGGGGAAUAUUGGACAAUGGGCGAAAGCCUGAUCCAGCAAUGCCGCGUGAGUGAUGAAGGCCUUAGGGUUGUAAAGCACUUUUACCCGGGAUGAUAAUGACAGUACCGGGAGAAUAAGCUCCGGCUAACUCCGUG
rnacentral:rRNA from 1 species